rnacentral:rRNA from 1 species
CACGUAGGGCGCGAGCGUUGUCCGGAAUUAUUGGGCGUAAAGAGCUCGUAGGCGGCCUGUUGCGUCCGCUGUGAAAGCCCGGGGCUUAACCCCGGGUCGGCAGUGGAUACGGGCAGACUAGAGGCAGGUAGGGGAGAAUGGAAUUCCCGGUGUAGCGGUGAAAUGCGCAGAUAUCGGGAGGAACACCGGUGGCGAAGGCGGUUCUCUGGGCCUGACCUGACGCUGAGGAGCGAAAGCGUGGGGAGCAAACAGG